rnacentral:rRNA from 1 species
AGGACGAACGCUGGCGGCGUGCUUAACACAUGCAAGUGGAGCGACGAACCAGGCUUCGGCCUGGGGCAGAGCCGCGAACGGGUGAGUAACACGUGGGUAACCUGCCUCGAUGACCGGGACAACCCGAGGAAACCCGGGCUAAUACCGGAUGUGCUCCUUCACAUCAGUGAAGACAGGAAAGGAAGCUUCGGCCUCCGCAUCGAGAUGGGCCCGCGGCCCAUUAGCUUGUUGGUGAGGUAACGGCUCACCAAGGCUGCGAUGGGUAGCUGGUCCGAGAGGACGAUCAGCCACACUGGGACUGAGACACGGCCCAGACUCCUACGGGAGGCAGCAGUGGGAAUCUUGCGCAAUGCGCGAAGCGUGACGCAGCAACGCCGCGUGGGGAAGACGGCGUUUCGGUGUAAACCCCGUUUCGAGGUAGGACGAAGCCGAGAGACGGUUAAUAGGCCGACGUCGGGUGACCGGUACCUCCGAAGAAGAACGCCCCGGACUAACCGUACGU